rnacentral:sRNA from 1 species
UUAGUUUAAAUUGAUGGAUUCGUUAGUCUAGAGCCCCCUCUAGCGUCUUUAAGUUUUUCGUUUGCCUCAUCCUCCUUCUCUUUUCUUUCCAACUUUCUCUGUCUUCUAGUUACUUCCGCUCGAAGAUUAUAUCAUUAUUACCUAAAUUUGCUGAUUUUCUUCCUCAAACAGCCAUUGGAGACACAAUGGCUUCCCUUACCAGCUUUAACAUUCUGACAAUCGAUCCUCAAGCACCUAUAUGGAACUUUGUAUCCAUGGUUGGAUUCAAUCCUCCCUUGUGCCCGAUACGCCACAACCCAGCAUCGACAAAACUUGUGACGUAAGAAUGACUACAUUGACUUACAGAAGUAUAUCCCGACCUUCCCCAAGCUCUACAUAAAUAACACAAACCCUUUACGAAAGUUCUUAUUUCUUUUUUGUUUUUUCCCCCUUUUCUCCUCCCUUUUUAUCUUCAUCAGCGUUCUCAUAAAAAAACGGAACAAAUAGUAACAAACACACGAAAGUACUGUACAACCGAAAAAUACCACAAAACAUCCAACAACAUGGCCUGCGGAUGCGGAAACAACUCCUGCCCCUGUGACGGUCCACAGUCGUGUACUUGUUCAUCUGGCGGUGGUAGUAGCUGCGGUUGCACAACAUGCAAAUAAGGGGAAACAGCAGUAAUUGAACUCGGCAAUUUCGCGCACAAUAUAACGACUAAAAGGUAGCCAGGGGAAAAAGAGGUUUCUGGAGUGACGUACACGUGUCUAUCGCUGUAGCAAGCAUGGGGAAUUUGCGUGAUGAAUGUGCAACGAUGUUGAUUGGGUGGCAUUUUGUGCGUUUAUAUAAUUGAAAUAUCUAUAUAUACGUAUAUACAUAGGUAUUCUGAUAUCAUGUGCACUGUGUUGCUGGCAAAUGAACGUAUGACAUUCCAUCAUCACCCAUCUGCGAAGGGUAAAAAGAUAUAUCGCUAUAUAUAUGUUUGUAUAUGUGUCUGGGAUCAAUGGUCCCUCUGUAUGGCAUCCGAAAUAAUAUAAAUACCCUCAUCCAUACCGCGCCUCCUUAUAAAUCAAAAGCUACCCUGAUCCAACAUACCAAACUACGCCAAGGAUACGUCUCGAUGACUUGCAGCCUCACAUAGAGGAUUUUUUUUAAAAAAAAAAGGUAUUAACGAUAGAAGUUAAGGUUGGCCAAUUGGAUACCUAUACACAAAUAUAUAUAGAUAUCGAAAUCGCAAAAAUGGUGAAAAGGAGCACAAGGGUGAUGAUAUAUAUACAGGUCGAAAUGGAUGUGGGGGAAAAAUGAUAUAGUACCCACAUAGAUUGAGACGACGUAGGUUCGAUAGGAUAGGUAGCGUAUUGUAAAGCGGAAAUCUCCGAAUACGUAAGAGAAAAACAAUAUGUAGAGAAGGAAGGAAAGUGGAGAAAGCAACCGAAGCGGCCAACUAGGAGUGGAAGGGUGGGGGGAUAAAGGAUAUAUAUAUGUAAAUGAUGGAGGUGGAAGGUUGGUUCAUUGUAACCUUCUAGCGAGCGCAGCACUGCUUAUAUACCUUCUAGUGAGCGAUUGGGAUGCCAACAGUAAAUGGAAAGAAGGAGAAAAGAAAAGAAGCAUCAGCUAUUAGAUAUAGCCAAGAAAUCAUAAUUAAUAUAUCAGACAUCAAGUAUCUCGAGCAGUUUGUUUGACAGUCUGCGAAAUAAUCCAAAGAUUUUAAGUACAUGAAGGAGGAGAUAGCGCUAAAAACAUUGAUUCACCCUUUGUAAAAAAAUAACUCCGGCUGGUUUGGUAUAUAUAAGUAAUAUCAUAUCGCCAAAUCAAAAUAACAUUUAUAGCCAUUUCAGAUAAAACAAAUAAGGUAUAUAAUAAAUUGCGAAAACACCAUAAAUAUAUCCUUUACAAAAAAAGCAUUUGCUGGUUAUUAAAUCCCCUCUGUAAAUCGACUAGCACGACUGCCGUCUGAACUAGCCAUACUCCUCCCUAUCGCAUCUUGGCCAGAAACCCGUUGAUGGAUGGGUAAUCGUGGUAGCGAUUCGUGUGGCGGGGGGUGCAGAGCAAUUGAGCCAGCUGAGGCCAUUGUUGUCGAUGUAGUGAUAUCGGCUGAACUGGUUAGUGGGGUUCGUGCCGGUGAAGCGCGGAGGACGACACGUGGGGAGGAGUCACCCUCUUGUGAGGGUGGGCGGCCGAACGGUGGGGAGGUGAGAGGCUGUGCAAUUGGCCCCGCCCUUCGUGACAUCUUGUUGUGAGAGAUGGCUGGCCGGGAUUGAAAGGUCGGAGAGGAUUGGGGGAGAAUAGGGGCAAUCGUUGUGAGUGAACCAGUCUUUUUAUUUGCAGCACCGGCAUCGGCAGAGGCCGUUUCGGAGUAUAGUCUCUCUCCGGCUGCGCCGAAUGGGUCAUCAUAUCCAUCACCACCAGAUUCUAGAACUGAUGUGAUUUUCCUCCCCGACACUUUGUGAAACCCUCUUUCGCUGCUAGGUGGUGGUUCGAGAGUCCUAGUGGAUUGAUGGGAGUUUCUCCAUUUGCUGAAGAGAGUUGUGGCGCCUAAGGCGCUUCCUCCAGUAGCUGUGCUAGCAGAACGUUCAGACAUCACACCUGGUAAUCCUGAAUGUAAUAUUGCUGCUAUUCCCCUGUCCCCUGAUGCGAGAUCGUGGGAAUAAUCGGUUUUUCGUUUCCGGUUUCUUAGAAGGAGGAGCACUACUGUUAUGAGAAGAACGAUGCUGGCAACACCACCAACCACGCCACCUACAACCUUUCUUGUCGAAUCAGGGGGAGAUCCGGAGGUAUCAGCAGGACUGUCGCCUACAAAUGUGUGCGUACCACUUCGGCCAGUUGCAGUCGAGUCCCCGUUUCCACCACCACCACCUCCUCCGCCUCUGCCACCAAAGUCACUAGCAAAAGUAGGCAUUAGAGCCGACUUUGAACUUAUCAUAGCACUCGAUGAUGUAAUUGUUGUGCUGCUAGGAAUUGAUGACGAUGAGGGUGACAAUGAUGUAGACGACGUCGAAGCCAAGAAUAUAGACGACAAGGGCAAAGAUGAUAAGGGUGUUGAAAAGGGGCUAGAGGUGGUGAUUGGCAAUAGGUGUGGCGUUGUCUCUGCUGGCAAACGCUCAACAGGUAUGACGGGUGGCGUGGAAACCGAGGAAGCAGAGUGAGUCGAUAUAGGCAACAGGAUAAAAGGAGGUCGCGUGACAUGCUCAGCUGUGGAUGUGGAUGAUGUUGACGAGGGGGAAGACGCCGCAGGGCUAGAUGCGGAAGCGGAGCUUGAAGACGUCAUAUCAACGGUCGAUGUAGGUAAGUUAGAAAAUGUGACACUAGAAUCAGACAUCGGCGAGGUAGGAUCGCCUUCUGGGGGCUGUGAGGGAGUUCCAGGUUCGUUUUCAGGGGC